rnacentral:lncRNA from 1 species
ACUGCGACGGCGUUGACUGAGGGGGCGCCACUAGGCGCGGUCACGUGCAUUCGCGGUGCAUUCGCGGGGGCGUCGGUGCGGGUCGCGUCUCUUAAGACACCCAGGGAGACAGACGUGGGGCAGAACUCAUGGGCUGAAGUGAGAGAUGGCUGGGGCCCAGGCGAGCGACCGAGCAGGGUCCGAACAGAGCCAGCGAGGGACCCCGGGCUGUGCUUGAGGCCCGACGACGCGCCAUAUCCCGGCAGCGCCGCAGCUCAGGCCUCUGCGAAUCUGUGGUCCACACGCUGAUAAACUUAGAGGCCUCUGCACUGGGGCAGAAACCGAAAGGCAUGACCCAGACCGAGAAAGAUAUUUGCAUACUGAGAAAGUGUGAAACACAAUUGUCGAGACUAAAAGGAGACACUGAGAGGAUACGCCAAUCAGAGACCGGAUUCCACCAUGUUGCCCAGGCUGACCUCAAACUCCUGGUCUCAAGUGAUCCACUUGCCUUGCCUUGGCCUCCCAAAGUGCUGGGAUUAAGUUCUGAGUCUUAACACAUGUAUAGAGUUAGUAACUAUCCCUACAAUAAAGCUAUACAAGACUUCAUCACCAUCCUCCACCCAAAAAACUCCCUUGUGUUGUCCCUUUAUAGUCAUAUUCUCCCCUACCCUGAAACCCUAGCAACCAACCCAUUGGUCUGUUUGCUAUCACUAUAGUUUUGUAUUUUCAAGAAUGUAAUAUAUAUAUAUGGAAUUAUAAAGUGUCUUAGUUUGGGCUGCUGUCACAAAAUACUAUACGCUGGUGGCUGAGACAGCAAGCAUUGAUUUCUCAUGGUUCUGGAGGCUGGGAAGUACAAGAUCAAGGCACUGGAUGACCUGGUAUCUCUUAAGAGCCCACUUCCUGGCUUGCAGACAGCUGCCGUUUCACAUAUACUCACAUGGUCAAGAGACAGCUGAUCUCUCUUGUGUCUCCUCUUUAAGAGCACGACUCCUUUUCUUUUUUUCUUUCUUUUUUCUCUUUCUUUUUUCUUUUUUUUCUUUCUUUUUUCUUUUUUUGAGACAGAGUCUCACUCUGUCACCCAGGCUGGAGUACAGUGGCAUGAUCUCGGCUCUGCAACCUCCACCUCCCAGGUUCAAGCAGUUCCCUUGCCUCAGCCUCCCGAGUAGCUGGGACUACAGGUGUGUGC